GGCUGGUAGUGUAGUGGUUAGGGAGCUGGUUUUGUAACCCAGUGGUUGGAGGUUUGAGUCCUGCUAAAAGCCC